AGAACGAACGCUGGCGGCAUGCCUAAUACAUGCAAGUCGAACGAACACUUCGGUGUUAGUGGCGCACGGGUGCGUAACGCGUGGGAAUCUGCCCUUGGGUUCGGAAUAACAGUUGGAAACGACUGCUAAUACCGGAUGAUAUCGAAAGAUCAAAGAUUUAUCGCCCAGGGAUGAGCCCGCGUAGGAUUAGCUAGUUGGUGAGGUAAAGGCUCACCGAAGGCGACGAUCCUUAGCUGGUACUGGAGAGGAUGAUCAGCCCACACGUGGGACUGGAGACACGGCCCAGUACUCCGUACGGGAGGCAGGCAGUAGGGAAUAGUUGGACAGUGGGCGACAAGCCUGAUCCAGCAAUCGCCGCGUGGAGUG
rnacentral:rRNA from 1 species